UGCGAAUGGCUCAUUAAAUCAGUUAUCGUUUAUUUGAUAGUACCUUACUACUUGGAUAACCGUGGUAAUUCUAGAGCUAAUACAUGCUAAAAACCCCGACUUCGGGAGGGGUGUAUUUAUUAGAUAAAAAACCAAUGCCCUUCGGGGCUCCUUGGUGAUUCAUGAUAACUUAACGAAUCGCAUGGCCUUGCGCCGGCGAUGGUUCAUUCAAAUUUCUGCCCUAUCAACUUUCGAUGGUAGGAUAGUGGCCUACCAUGGUAUCAACGGGUAACGGGGAAUUAGGGUUCUAUUCCGGAGAGGGAGCCUGAGAAACGGCUACCACAUCCAAGGAAGGCAGCAGGCGCGCAAAUUACCCAAUCCCGACGCGGGGAGGUAGUGACAAUAAAUACUGAUACAGGGCUCUUUUGGGUCUUGUAAUUGGAAUGAGUACAAUUUAAAUACCUUAACGAGGAACAAUUGGAGGGCAAGUCUGGUGCCAGCAGCCGCGGUAAUUCCAGCUCCAAUAGCGUAUAUUAAAGUUGUUGCAGUUAAAAAGCUCGUAGUUGAACCUUGGGCCUGGCUGGCCGGUCCGCCUCACCGCGUGUACUGGUCCGGCCGGGCCUUUCCUUCUGGGGAUCCGCAUGCCCUUCACUGGGCGUGCCGGGGAACCAGGACUUUUACUUUGAAAAAAUUAGAGUGUUCAAAGCAGGCCUUUGCUCGGAUACAUUAGCAUGGAAUAAUAGAAUAGGACGUGCGGUCCUAUUUUGUUGGUUUCUAGGACCGCCGUAAUGAUUAAUAGGGAUAGUCGGGGGCAUCAGUAUUCAAUUGUCAGAGGUGAAAUUCUUGGAUUUAUUGAAGACUAACUACUGCGAAAGCAUUUGCCAAGGAUGUUUUCAUUAAUCAGUGAACGAAAGUUAGGGGAUCGAAGACGAUCAGAUACCGUCGUAGUCUUAACCGUAAACUAUGCCGACUAGGGAUCGGGCGAUGUUAUUCUUUUGACUCGCUCGGCACCUUACGAGAAAU
rnacentral:rRNA from 1 species